rnacentral:lncRNA from 1 species
CUUCAAGGUAUCUCAGGCCAUGUUUAUAUGGUUGCAGGACAUGUUUGGCCAGAUGGAGUUAGGAUUGGAAGUGCAGCAACACAUAUAACAUGGUGGACAUGAAAUUGAACAUGAGCCAAAUUACUUAAAAAUGAAGAAACCAAACAAAAGUAUAUCAAAUCAAAACCUUUGGAUGAAGCAUCAAGGCCAAAUGGGUUAGAUUAGGUUUUUGAUGGUCAACAAAUGGAGAGGUUGACUUUGGUCAAAGUUGACCAAAAAGACAACUGUUGACCAAAGUCAAAAAUAGGUCAAAACUUUAUUUUUUGGUAUUUUCUUUGUAAAUGGACAAUGUAUUGAUGAUCAUGGUGAAAUUUAGGGUUUAAUGAAUUUGGGUUGACUUUGGUCAAAGUUGACCAAAAAGUCAACUGUUGACCAAAGUCAACAAUUGGUCAAAAGUGUCAAUUUUU